AGUGAACGCUGGCGGUAGGCCUAACACAUGCAAGUCGAACGGCAGCACAGUAAGAGCUUGCUCUUACGGGUGGCGAGUGGCGGACGGGUGAGGAAUACAUCGGACUCUACUUUUUCGUGGGGGAUAACGUAGGGAAACUUACGCUAAUACCGCAUACGACUUACGGGUGAAAGCAGGGGAUCUUCGGACCUUGCGCGAUUGAAUUAGCCGAUGUCGGAUUAGCUAGUUGGCGGGGUAAAGGCCCACCAAGGCGACGAUCCGUAGCUGGUCUGAGAGGAUGAUCAGCCACACUGGAACUGAGACACGGUCCAGACUCCUACGGGAGGCAGCAGUGGGGAAUAUUGGACAAUGGGCGCAAGCCUGAUCCAGCCAUACCGCGUGGGUGAAGAAGGCCUUCGGGUUGUAAAGCCCUUUUGUUGGGAAAGAAAAGCAGCAGGUUAAUACCCCGCUGUUCUGACGGUACCCAAAGAAUAAGCACCGGCUAACUUCGUG
rnacentral:rRNA from 1 species